rnacentral:rRNA from 1 species
GUGGGGAAUAUUGCACAAUGGGGGAAACCCUGAUGCAGCAACGCCGCGUGAGCGAUGAAGGCCUUCGGGUCGUAAAGCUCUGUCCUAAGGGAAGAAGAAUGACGGUACCUUAGGAGGAAGCCCCGGCUAACUACGUGCCAGCAGCCGCGGUAAUACGUAGGGGGCAAGCGUUAUCCGGAAUCACUGGGCGUAAAGGGUGCGUAGGCGGCCGAUAAAGUCUGGGGUGAAAGGCUACGGCUUAACCGUAGUAAGCCUUGGAAACUUAUUGGCUUGAGUGCAGGAGAGGUAAGUGGAAUUCCUAGUGUAGCGGUGAAAUGCGUAGAUAUUAGGAGGAACACCAGUGGCGAAGGCGACUUACUGGACUGUAACUGACGCUGAGGCACGAAAGCGUGGGGAGCGAACAGG